ensembl:lncRNA
GGCCUAUAAUGCAUUAGGAACUAAAUGGUUUCCUAAGUUCCUUUGUAGACUCUAUAUCUUUAAUAUAGUUACUAUUUUUCUUAUCAAAUGGACUAAGUUUCUUGGUUAUUUUCAUUGCAAUAUUUAGGUAUUGGUAUGUUUCUUAUACAGAAAGCCAUGUAGAUUACAUGAUAUCAUGAGUGAGUGAUCUGGUGGAGAUGGAAGAGUAAUAAAGAGACAUAGACAAUGUGAGGAGAAAGUUCAAAGGAUCAGUUCAUAAGAUACAAGAAGCAAGAUAUAAGAAUACCAAUACCUGGUUUUCUCAUUGUUAAAAGAAUUCCAAAUGUGUCCUCUCAAGUGAUGACUACAUAGGAAAACUGAUACCAUUGAUUCUGCCACCAUCUUCCAUAAAACCAAAAAAUAGUCUUCAUAAUGUAUGGCAACUCCUCAUUAUUGUAUUGCAACAGACACUCCCUGUAGAUCAGAAAAACAGGCUGAGAAGGCUCAAAUUUAAAGGGUGAUAUUGGAGAGAAUUGUAACCAGGCAUGUGGACUGUUUUCAUUGUUGCUAUUGGACUGAAUCUCAGGAGCUUGAAUGAUGGAGACAGUGUUAUGCCCAGGACCUUGUAAUGUCAAAGCUUCGUUUCAUUGCACCCAAAAGUAUUAUUGCAUAUAUUUAAAAUUUUCAUUUAUCACAGGGAAAUUUAAAAUUGAUUCAUAAAAAAUCACAAUUUUCAAGAUUUCAAAGGAUAUGGAAAAUUUUAAAUGUAACAUUUUACUUCUUAUAUGCUGUUUUUCCUCCUCUGAUUCUGCCACCUCUGUCUAUGUUAUCUACUUAUUGAUGAAAUUUUGGGCAUAUCUUAUGGGUUUAUUGAUCAGUUAACACUCAUGGCAUUUUGGGGGAUCUGUAUAUACUAGCCACAGAUUUUUCUAUGCAGUAAGCAUUGUUUAUAUAUGAAUUGUAAAUUUAUCCAACUAAUUUGUUGAAAUAAUUCCAAUGAAACUAUGAAGACUAAGGAUACCCAAAAUUUACAGUUUCAAGUCCAAAGUAAAAUAGAUUUUCCUCUAUUAUAUAGACAGGAUUUCAUCAAUCUUAUCUACAAGUGUUUAUAUAGAUAUAGUUCCUAAAACUGUAUAAAUGUUACAUUUUUAUUCUUUGGCAAUAUGAUGUUACAAAGAAAUUGCCUUUUCUUCAGCCUGUCAUUUUCAUAGAUGCUUAGUCCUUACCAGUCUCUUGCAUUAUUUCAUUUUUCUCUUUUUUUUUUUCCUUUUCAUUUUCCUUGGUAUAUCAGUGUCUUAGUGUAGUACAAAUGAAAUACCAUAUUUUAUUGCUGUCAAUUUACUGUGUUUUGUAUUUUGGUUGUAUAUUAAAAUAUAAUCAUACUAUGUUUUAUGCCUUGUGAGUUUUGUGUUUUUCUUUAAAACAUGUUUGUAUUAGUAUCAUUUCCUCAUCUGUUUUUUUUUAUCACAUGUUUUGCCAUUUCUCUUUCAUUUAUCCUUACUGUGGUUUUAAAGCAUUACAUAUUCAAAUUGUUUACCUUGACUUAGGUAGUUACCACUCAUCUUCACUUCUACCAUAAUCAUAGAAAUUCUGACAUAUAAUUGAUUGAAUUUCUAUUUAUUUGUCUGCCUUACUUUCUAUUGUUACUUUAAAAUUACUGAUGAAUCUUUUCUAUUCCAUUGAGCUCUCUCAUUUCUCUUCUUUUUCAGAAUAUUCCCUGACUAAACUUGCAUUUUUUCUCUCAAUUGAUGCUUAACAUUACUUUGCAAGUUGGAAAAAAUAAUGCAGUUUUUAUUUCAUUUGCAACAAUUUAAUAGAUUAAUUAGGAGAGACUAGAUCUCUUUGAGUCUUCCUGUCAAACAACAAGGUAUGUCUUUAUAUUUUUCUAAAAUCAAAUUGUUAUGUUGGAAUACUGCUAGUUUAGCUUUUCUUUUUAAAAUUCAUUCCUAAGCAUUUCAUAGUUUUGUUACUGUAGUGAUAGGGAUUGCAAAACUAGUUUUUUUCAUAUUAAUAUAUGUAAAUCAGCUUUAAUAUUUUUUAAAUACAAUUUCAUUGAAACUCAAAUUAUGAUUUUCUUUAAUUUUUAAAUACUUAUGGGUCAUCUUAUGAACUUUUUCACCUUUUAAGAAUUUCUCAUCAAAUUUGGUGACAGAUUUAAUAAAAUGUCUGUGUUUUCAAGUUGAUAUUUGCCAUUUUAAUUAUUAAGAUGAACUGAAUUUUUCUAAAACUGAAAAUUUUUGUAUCCAAUGAAUAUGUGAACUACAAUUUGUUUAUUUUUAUAUUAUCUCUCCCCUAUUACAGCUAUCAUUAUUUUAUUGACACUUUCUGAGAAGAUAGUCCUAAACACAGAACUUUAUUUUGUGUUUGCUUUACUAGCUCUGUCAAAACUGUUCUGAGUGUUUUUUCAUGUAGACUGGAAACAGGAAAUACUAGCCUUAUUUAGUUUCUAAUUCUAUAUUGAUAUAUGACUUAAUACCUCCACGAAUGUUGCUUUGGUACUACAUAGGCUUUUGUUGUU